rnacentral:rRNA from 1 species
AUUGAACGCUGGCGGCAUGCUUUACACAUGCAAGUCGAGCGGCAGCGCGGGGGCAACCCUGGCGGCGAGCGGCGAACGGGUGAGUAAUGCAUCGGAACGUGUCCCGUCGUGGGGGAUAACGCCGGGAAACCGGCGCUAAUACCGCAUAUGCUCUACGGGAGAAAGGGGGGGACCCGCAAGGGCCUCCAGCUAUGGGAGCGGGCGAUGUCCGAUUAGCUUGUUGGUCAGGUAAAGGCUUACCAAGGCGACGAUCGGUAGCUGGUCUGAGAGGAUGAUCAGCCACACUGGGACUGAGACACGGCCCAGACUCCUACGGGAGGCAGCAGUGGGGAAUUUUGGACAAUGGGGGCAACCCUGAUCCAGCCAUGCCGCGUGCGGGAAGAAGGCCUUCGGGUUGUAAACCGCUUUUGUCCGGAAAGAAAAGGCAUUCCCUAAUACGGGGUGUUCUUGACGGUACCGGAAGAAUAAGCACCGGCUAACUACGUGCCAGCAGCCGCGGUAA